rnacentral:misc_RNA from 1 species
CUGAUAUAUUAUAAGCGUCGUGUUAUCAUUUAGCAACGUUUUGGUACGAUUGUGAUGAAAAAAGAGACACUUCGUUAGAGAAUAAGGAUACGAGCUAAUGCUUGCUGUAGCCAUAUUGGUUUCUUGGAAAGUGAGGUUAUGUUCGUUUGGUAUGCAUGAGACGACGGUUAAGUCGAUAAUAGACGGGUGUUGCAAGAGAAAACGAAGAUUGGAAAACGUCUGGUCGGAUCGGUGAUUAGCAGCGUAGCUCGACUCCCUAGAGCGCAAAGUUUUUUCAUCAAAUUCCACCGCCGAUUCACUUCGGCAUGUGGAAUCUCUCGUAAAAACCAAGCGGCACGCGGAGCCUCUAAAAAAAUAUAUAUGAAUUUUCACCGCGCUCGAA